rnacentral:misc_RNA from 1 species
UAUAAGCUUGCAAUCUUUCAAAAUAUUUUUUAUUGUAAGAGAAAAUUUCAAUCAAAACUAAUACAUUUGUUCUUGUAGAAGGGUUCCUGUCGUAAUUUAAAGUGACAAAUCCAUGAUUAAAAACAGCCAAUUUUUAAAGAGACAAAGACAAAGGUUCAAGGGGUUCUAUGCCAGACUAUAAUAAAGGUCUAUACAUACCUAGAGUCACUUUGUUUUUCUUUUUGAACCAAAAAUAUGUUAAGGAUUCUGGACUGUUAUAUUGCCGUGGUGUUCCCAUUCUUCCAUCAAGUUUACUUAACCCAGGAGAAUGCGCUGUCAAGUUCUGUAGUGUCAUGGUUCUUCUCUCUCUUUACAUCAUCACUUUUCUACUUUGCGGGACUUACAAAGUGCAAGGGAUGCCAUCUUGAAUCAUACUUCUUCUUCAUCCAAACCAAUGCUUUUAAAUUUGGCAUGGUGUUGCCCUACCUGAUUUGCCUACUCACAGCUACCUACUUCUCACUCCAUGUAAUCGUUGUUGUUGUGGGAAAGCACAAACAGAUCAAACAGAUUGUUCCCCUAGAACUGCAAGUCAGUGGAAACCAUGAGGAAGAGGAUGGAACUGCGGCCAAUCCCCCGUGCCAUCACUCGGACUCAACUCCUCCAUCCCAGUCAACAGUUGCAUCAUUUCCAAUUCCAUCAACAUCUCACCCAAAUCCUGUAUCCUUUCCAACUCCAGCAUCCAUCUCAACAUCCUUCCAUACUGCGCCAUCUUGUCAAUCAUCAUCAUCCUUUCCAGCUCCUAUGACCGUUCCUAAUGUGAGAUCUAUCCGUUCAACACUUCCUUCCCCAUCUCGAGCUCCAUCUACUUCAACAAUGACCAGCUUUGAUAAACCAGUCUACUACAUCAUGAGAUAUGACAAGGCAUUUCGGUUGGGAAAUCCUAGCUGCGCUAAUAAUAAUGGAGCAGUUGACUUUACAGAUUUAGAGGCAGUAGAAGCAGGACAGCCAGCCUCAAACUUUAGGUUAAGUGAUGAAACUCUGAUAUCAGUUCCAGUCACACUUCCAGUUCAGAUUCAGCCUCAAAGGCAAAGACCUCCAAGACCUCCAGUUCAGUUUCUUAGAAGACACCACUCACAGGCAACUAGAGAAUAUUGUUUGUUAUGUUGUUUUUAGCUUUGAUAAGAAGGGAUUGCAUCUUUGGUAGUUAACAGAUCUUAUUUUUUUGAGUAUGGGGUUUUGUUUGUAUUUUAAGUUGAUAUAUUGAGUGGCAUUUUAAAAAAAGUAGCUGAAAAGCUAGACUUAAGGAGUAAAAACACAAAAGUUGACUUUUCUUCUUUCCCAAAAUGUCCAGCUCUUAUUUCAUUUAUCCCAAGCAUUAAAAAACUAAUACUCUGAUUAUCUUAGGUCAUAAACUUGAACCAGGGAAAUAUUCAGGUAAAAAUCAUUCAUUAAACAAAAUUAAAAAUUGAAUAAGUUUAUAGCUAUGAAAUAAUUAAUUUUUAUUUUCAGUCUCAGAUCUCAUCAAUGAUCAAGGUAAAUAAAAGAAUUUAUAGUGCAAUUUACUGUUUUGGGGGUUUGUUGAACCUGUAAACAUAAUUGCAGGGAAAACAAUUACAUCUAAAAGAGUAAUAUUGUGAUUUUGACCUUUUGUUACCAAAAGAGAUAAUAAUUUUUAUUUAAAGGCAUGUUUGAAGAUGAUCCAGAUUUUCAUCCUUUUACUGGUCACUCUACUCUGUUUGUUCCUUCCUACACUCUUUUAUACGAAUACAAAUGAGGACGUGGAAGAAUAUGCCAUUGCUUGGAAGGUGUGCAUGUCUGUUUUUAUGGUGUCAAGAUCACUAAAACCUAUUCUGCUUGCCAUCUCAGAUAAUGAACUGAGGAUCAAAGCAUACAGAUUGUACACAUGUUCAGCCUAGGUUUAAAGCAUACAGAUUAAACACAUAUUCAGCUUAGGGAUAGAGUAUGUAGACUUUACACAUGGUAAGCCUAGGGUUAAAUAUACAGAUUGUACACAUAUUCAGCUUAGGGUUAAAGUAUGCAGACUUUACACAUGUUUAGCUUAGGGUUAAAUAUACAGAUUGUACACAUGUUCAGCUUAGGGUUAAAUAUACAGACUGUACACAUGUUCAGCUUAGGGUUAAAGCAUACAGACUGUACACAUGUUCAGCAAAGGUCAGGGAGAGAGCAAAGGCUGUCAAUGACAUGUAAAAAAUGUAGUUAAUUGUAAAUUAAUGUGAUUUCAUUGUUUGUAACAAUAUAUCCUUGAACAAUAUAUUCAUGAAAGGUGAAAAAACUUGAACACCUUAAUGCAAAAGCUAUGCCUUAAGUUCACCAAUUCUGUUCAAAUCUUUUAAAGUUGAAGCUUCAUGCCUAUUUUUGCAUAAGUAUACUCUUCCACAUUUUUUGGAUUUAUUUU